GAGGAAUAUUGGUCAAUGGACGGAAGUCUGAACCAGCCAAGUAGCGUGCAGGAUGACGGCCCUCCGGGUUGUAAACUGCUUUUAGUUGGGAAUAAAAAAAGGGACGUGUCCCUUAUUGUAUGUACCUUCAGAAAAAGGACCGGCUAAUUCCGUGCCAGCAGCCGCGGUAAUACGGAAGGUCCGGGCGUUAUCCGGAUUUAUUGGGUUUAAAGGGAGUGUAGGCGGUCUGUUAAGCGUGUUGUGAAAUUUAGGUGCUCAACAUUUAACUUGCAGCGCGAACUGUCAGACUUGAGUACACGCAGCGCAGGCGGAAUUCAUGGUGUAGCGGUGAAAUGCUUAGAUAUCAUGAGGAACUCCGAUCGCGAAGGCAGCCUGCGGGAGUGUUACUGACGCUUAAGCUCGAAGGUGCGGGUAUCGAACAGGAUUAGAUACCCUGGUAGUCCGCACUGUAAACGAUGGAUGCCCGCCGUUGGCGCCCUGCGCCUGCGGCCAAGCGAAAGCAUUAAGCAUCCCACCUGGGGAGUACGCCGGCAACGGUG
rnacentral:rRNA from 1 species